CGCUCUCCGCCCUCCAUUUUUUUCCAACUUCCUCUAUCCGCGUCUCGCUCCUAAAGAAGCCGCCGCUCCCGCAUGCCUAAUCACCUGGCUGCUGGCUGCCCACUGUGCCACCCUGUGGAGGCCGUCACCACACCUCGCCGGAGCCACGCGCCUCGCUGGGUCUGACGGCCGACCCCUCCCUCCCGUCAUGCAGAUCUACUGCACCUCUAGCAACGCACUCCUGCAGGCCGCUUCCCCCUCCACCGCUCGCUCCGCCGCCGCCCCAGCAAGCAGAAGGGGUGCUGAGGAGCGAGGAUGAGGUGGCACUGGGUCAGCGUCGCUCGCCGCCAUCCAUCGAGGAGGCUGGAUUCGUGGCGUCCGCGACAGAGGACAAUGAUCCACUCAGGUGCGUCUGCAUCUUCGCCAACAAGUACACGCGCAUCUACGCCACCCACUGCGCUUCCCCCACCGACGCCGUCAACACCCAUUCCAUCAACGCCUGCAACGUCCUCGCGCUCUCGUGAAUGGCCGCGCCGUCACGCUCGCACUGCACGACCUGCCGCGCCGCCGUCACUCGGAAUCCGCUUUAAUAGGGCGCAAGCCCUCAAGACCAUGGAUUGAUUGUAGCAAAUGGAACCUAUAUGCUUACUGCUGGCACCUGUGUGCAGUGAGCUGUGGACCAGGCAGUCUCAAUUUAUAUUGCACACCUGCUUCACUAUCAGGAUCAUGCCCAAGCAUGCAGUGUCCUAACAGCAAUGUGAUGCUUAGCAAUGUGAGCACCCAUCCAACCAGUGCAGGAUGCAAUGUCUCUUCUUGCAGCUACGGAGGUUUUGUUAAUGGAACUAUUACUACUUCAUAAGCAGCAUUUUGCCCAAUGUUCAUUUUAUUCCAUUCUCGCUGCAUGUGGCACUUCUGCUUAAAUUGCACGAUCAGAUGGUUGGGGCAUCUCAUUCUUUGGGUAAUGGUAAAAAUAUCAAGCAAACAAUAUGGCUGAUAGGAGUACUGCUUAAUGUGAAUGUGAUAUGUUUUCGCUCUUGGAUGUUAGAA